rnacentral:rRNA from 1 species
GGCGAACGCUGGCGGCGUGCCUAAUACAUGCAAGUAGAACGCUGAAGAGAGGAGCUUGCUCUUCUUGGAUGAGUUGCGAACGGGUGAGUAACGCGUAGGUAACCUGCCUUGUAGCGGGGGAUAACUAUUGGAAACGAUAGCUAAUACCGCAUAACAAUGGAUGACUCAUGUCAUUUAUUUGAAAGGGGCAAAUGCUCCACUACAAGAUGGACCUGCGUUGUAUUAGCUAGUAGGUGAGGUAACGGCUCACCUAGGCGACGAUACAUAGCCGACCUGAGAGGGUGAUCGGCCACACUGGGACUGAGACACGGCCCAGACUCCUACGGGAGGCAGCAGUAGGGAAUCUUCGGCAAUGGGGGCAACCCUGACCGAGCAACGCCGCGUGAGUGAAGAAGGUUUUCGGAUCGUAAAGCUCUGUUGUAAGUCAAGAACGAGUGUGAGAGUGGAAAGUUCACACUGUGACGGUAGCUUACCAGAAAGGGACGGCUAACUACGUGCCAGCAGCCGCGGUAAUACGUAGGUCCCGAGCGUUGUCCGGAUUUAUUGGGCGUAAAGCGAGCGCAGGCGGUUUGAUAAGUCUGAAGUUAAAGGCUGUGGCUCAACCAUAGUUCGCUUUGGAAACUGUCAAACUUGAGUGCAGAAGGGGAGAGUGGAAUUCCAUGUGUAGCGGUGAAAUGCGUAGAUAUAUGGAGGAACACCGGUGGCGAAAGCGGCUCUCUGGUCUGUAACUGACGCUGAGGCUCGAAAGCGUGGGGAGCGAACAGG